rnacentral:rRNA from 1 species
ACGAACGCUGGCGGCGUGCCUAAAACAUGCAAGUCGAACGGUGUAGCAAUACACAGUGGCGAACGGCGGAGUAAUACAUGAACAACGUGCCCUAAAGACUGGGAUAGUCAGGGGAAACCCUGGGUAAUACCAGAUGUGGCCACCACUCGGCAUCGAGAGGUGAUUAAAUGGUUUUUCGCUUUAGGAGCGGUUCAUGGCCUAUCAGGUAGUCGGUGAGGGUAACGGCUCACCAAGCCGACGACGGGUAGCGGGUCUGAGAGGAUGACCCGCUCGAGUGGGACUGAGACACGGCCCACACACCUACGGGUGGCAGCAGUUGGGAAUCUUGCGCAAUGGGGGAAACCCUGAUGCAGCGACGCCGCGUGGAGGAUGAAGGAUCUAGGUCUGUAAACUCCUUUUUCAGGGAAAGACUUAGGACGGUACCCUGAGAAUAAGCACCGGCUAACUACGUGCCAGCAGCCGCGGUAAGACGUAGGGUGCAAGCGUUGUCCGGAUUUACUGGGCGUAAAGAGCGCGUAGGCGGCUCGUUAAGUGUGAAGUGAAAUCUCCAGGGCUCAACCCGGAAACUGCUUCGCAUACUGGCGAGCUGGAGUGAUGCAGAGGUUUGUGGAAUUCCUGGUUGUAACGGUGAAAUGUGUUGAUAUCAGGAGGAACACCCAUGGCGAAGGCAGCAAACUGGGCAUCAACUGACGCUGAGGCGCGAAAGCGUGGGUAGCAAACAGGAUUAGAUACCCUGGUAGUCCACGCCCUAAACGAUGGAUACUAGGCGUAAGAGGUAUCGACCCCUCUUGUGCCGCAGCUAACGCAUUAAGUACUCCCGCCUGGGGAGUACGGUCGCAAGACUGAAACUCAAAUGAAUUGACGGGGGACCCGCACAAGCGGUGGAGCAUGUGGAUUAAUUCGACUACUAACCGCAGAACCUUACCCUGGCUUGACAUCUGCGGAAGCCCUGUGGAAACACAUGGGUGCCUUCCAAGGAGCCGCGAAGACACUGUGCUGCAUGGCUGUCGUCAGCUCGUGCGUGAGAUGUUGGGUUAGGUCCGCCAACGAGCGCAACCCUCGAUCCUGUAGUUACCAGCAUUCGAAGGUGGGCACUCACUAGGUAGACUGCCGGUGUUAAAUCGGAGGAAGGUGGGGAUGACGUCAAGUCCGCAUGGCAGCUUAUGUCCAGGGGCUACACACAUGCUACAAUGGGCCGUAACAAAGAGUUGCGAUGCAACCGCUGAGGUGGAGCUAAUCUCAAUAAAGCCGGCUCAGUUCAGAUUGCAGUCUGCAACUCGACUGCCAUGAAGGCGGAAUCGCUAGUAAUCGCAGGAUCAGCUAUGACUGCGUUGAAUACGUUCCCGGGUCUUGUACACACCGCCCGUCACAGCCACGUGAAUUGUGUCCCCGAAGUCCGUGAGCCUAACCCGUCAGGGAAGGCAGCGGCCGAAGGAUGGGGCGGUACGGGGGAUA